rnacentral:rRNA from 1 species
GAUGAACGCUGGCGGCGUGCCUAAUACAUGCAAGUCGAGCGAACAGACGAGGAGCUUGCUCCUCUGACGUUAGCGGCGGACGGGUGAGUAACACGUGGAUAACCUACCUAUAAGACUGGGAUAACUUCGGGAAACCGGAGCUAAUACCGGAUAAUAUAUUGAACCGCAUGGUUCAAUAGUGAAAGACGGUUUUGCUGUCACUUAUAGAUGGAUCCGCGCCGCAUUAGCUAGUUGGUAGGGUAACGGCUUACCAAGGCAACGAUGCGUAGCCGACCUGAGAGGGUGAUCGGCCACCCUGGAACUGAGACACGGACCAGACUCCUACGAGAGGCAGCAGUAGGGAAUGUGCCGCAAUGGGCGAGAGCCUGACGGAGCAACGCCGCGUGAGUGAUGAAGGUCUUCGGAUCGUAAAACUCUGUUAUUAGGGAAGAACAAAUGUGUAAGUAACUAUGCACGUCUUGACGGUACCUAAUCAGAAAGCCACGGCUAACUACGUG